rnacentral:rRNA from 1 species
UACAGAGGGUGCGAGCGUUAAUCGGAAUUACUGGGCGUAAAGCGUGCGUAGACGGUAGCGUAAGUCAGAUGUGAAAGCCCCGGGCUCAACCUGGGAACUGCAUUUGAGACUGCUCUGCUCGGGUGCGGAAGAGGGAAGCGGAAUUUCCGGUGUAGCGGUGAAAUGCGUAGAUAUCAGGAGGAAUACCGAUGGCGAAGGCAGGUCUCUGGGCUGACACUGACGCUCAUGCACGAAAGCGUGGGGAGCAAACAGG